CCUUCCCCGCAAUUGAAAAACGUGUUUUGUUUUAACUAAAAGUUCAAACUGAUAGUAAUACUACACGCUUAUGUUUUACACCACGUGAUCUCCCAUUUUACUUUCUUUAGCUUCUUGUUCAUGUUAAAUAUGUUGUGUGAGUGACUAAGGGUACGGUAGGUUAGCGUACCUGAACCCUCAGGCGAAAUCCCUCGUCCCAAGGGCUCCACAUCCUGACCAUUGACAUGAUGAUUUUUGUAAAUGAGCAAGUAUCACCUUGUUUGGUAUACUUUGAACCAAAAGUUGAAUUAAUUAAGAAUUCACAUGUAA